ensembl:lncRNA
GCGAGGCCAGAGGCGGCAGUUUAAACUAAAGAUCACAGGACAGGGAGGAGCCACAUCACAACAACAAUGCGCUACUUCUCUCGGUUUUCCCCAGUCUCGCUCUCAAUCUCUUGCUCUCCCACACACAGAUCUACCUACAGGGCACCUCCGAGCACAACAUGAUUAUCAGGGGGAAACAAGUCAGGUAGGGAUGACCAGACAUACCUGUUUUCUGGCUUUUGGUGUCCUGUCCCUGACUGGAGCUGUCCCUGUUUUACAGUACAUUUGUGCAUUUAAAACACCACAAAUAGGAGGCUGGUUACCAGAGCAAUCGUACCGGAAUAAGGUAUGUAUCUGUUUUGUGCUGUCCUGCAUACAACAUUGAAGUUUCAGUAUGAUUUCAAUUAACAGAUCUCAUUAGAUUGAAGCUCUUGAGGGAAUCUCAUCUUGAUGCAUUAAUCCUGUUUUAUGAUUAUAAUCAAAGAUGAGAGCUUGUGCCAUCUUUAUUCUAACCCAUCUAUUUAACCUGUGAUGUAGUCUUUAGUCUUUCAUUACGCUUAUGCACUGCUGCAGGCUGUAAUUCGCCUUUUCACUUCCCUCCUCCCUCAUCAACCGCAGCUGCUUGAAUGGAUACUUAAUCUGUGCACCCCACCCAGUGUCCCGUAUCACAAAGCAAGCAUCUUGUAGAGAUGUUAGAUCUUUAGAAGAUGAUAACUUUAUUAAUCAGGUGAGAAAUACAGCAGAUGACGUCACUUCCUGCUAGCUCUGUUGUCGCUGCCAUAAUGCAUGAUGAAAUUUCCAUGAUGGUGGUUUUAUAUCACAUAUAUUCACACAUUUACCAGGUCUUCCUACAUAAUGCAUUAUGCAUUUUUAUAUGUACCAAUAAUAUAAUAUAAUAUAAUAUAAUAUAAUAUAAUAU